rnacentral:tRNA from 1 species
UGGGGUGUAGCUCAGUGCUAGAGCCUUUCUUUGCCAAGAAGCUAGCAUUCUCAACAUCCUAGGUUCAAUCCCUAGCAUUUCAA